rnacentral:tRNA from 1 species
AAGUAUGAAGCGAUUUAUUGCAUUUAGUUUCGACCUAAAAUUAGAUAACCACUUAUCCUUACUU